CCUACGGGCGGCAGCAGUGGGGAAUAUUGGACAAUGGGCGAAAGCCUGAUCCAGCCAUGCCGCGUGUGUGAAGAAGGCCUUCGGGUUGUAAAGCACUUUCAGUGGGGAAGAAAGCCUUGGGGCUAAUACCCUCGAGGAAGGACAUCACCCACAGAAGAAGCACCGGCUAACUCCGUGCCAGCAGCCGCGGUAAUACGGAGGGUGCGAGCGUUAAUCGGAAUUACUGGGCGUAAAGCGCGCGUAGGCGGUCUGAUAAGCCGGUUGUGAAAGCCCCCGGGCUCAACCUGGGAACGGCAUCCGAACUGUCAGGCUAGAGUGCAGGAGAGGAAGGUAGAAUUCCCGGUGUAGCGGUGAAAUGCGUAGAGAUCGGGAGGAAUACCAGUGGCGAAGGCGGCCUUCUGGACUGACACUGACGCUGAGGUGCGAAAGCGUGGGUAGCAAACAGGAUUAGAUACCCUAGUAGUC
rnacentral:rRNA from 1 species